CCAGGACCAAGGUCAGCAGCAGGCGCGAAAAUUAUCGAAGCCCGCCUAGGGGCGAUAGUGAGGAGACGUGUAUAACGAAGUACGUGUAAAGACCGUACUAAUAACUGGAGGUCAAGUCUGGUGCCAGCAUCCGCGGUAAUUCCAGCUCCAGGGGUGUCUAUGAUGAUUGCUGCGAUUAAAAAGUCCGUAGUCAAGCUGACUGACUGACCUGCAAUGUGAUUGAUUAAAGAACGAGCAGGGUUAGGAAAGCAGAGAAUUAGGAGCGACCGAGGGCUAGAGUAUUGAAUGGCGAGAGGUGAAAUUUGAUGACCCAUUCAGGAGUGACAAAGGCGAAGGCACUAGUCAAGGGCGAAUCCGAUGAUCAAGGACGUAGGCUAGAGUUUCGAAAACGAUUAGAGACCGGAGUAGUUCUAGCAGUAAACUAUGCCGACGCCGCGGUAUCAUUWUUUGGUAUUGCGGAAGAGAAAUCAAGUAAGGCUUUGGGGAGAGUACGCGCGCAAGCGAUAAAUU
rnacentral:rRNA from 1 species